GAUGAACGCUGGCGGCGUGCCUAAUACAUGCAAGUCGAGCGAACAGAUCAGGAGCUUGCUCCUUUGACGUUAGCGGCGGACGGGUGAGUAACACGUGGGUAACCUACCUAUAAGACUGGAAUAACUCCGGGAAACCGGGGCUAAUGCCGGAUAACAUUUAGAACCGCAUGGUUCUAAAGUGAAAGAUGGUUUUGCUAUCACUUAUAGAUGGACCCGCGCCGUAUUAGCUAGUUGGUAAGGUAACGGCUUACCAAGGCAACGAUACGUAGCCGACCUGAGAGGGUGGUCGCCCACACUGGAACUGAGGAACGGUCGAGACUCCUGCGGGAGGCAGCAGUAGGGAAUCUUCCGCGAUGGGCGAAAGCCUGACGGAGCAACGCCGCGGGAAGGAUGAAGGUCUUCGGAUCGGAAAACGCUGUUAUUAGGGAAGAACAAAUGUGUAAGUAACUGUGCACGUCUUGACGGUACCUAAUCAGAAAGCCACGGCUAACUACGUG
rnacentral:rRNA from 1 species